rnacentral:rRNA from 1 species
UGUCGUGGGGAUAACGUAGCGAAAGCUACGCUAAUACCGCAUACGUCCUGAGGGAGAAAGCGGGGGAUCUUCGGACCUCGCGCGAUUGGAGCGGCCGAUGUCGGAUUAGCUAGUUGGUGGGGUAAAGGCCCACCAAGGCGACGAUCCGUAGCGGGUCUGAGAGGAUGAUCCGCCACACUGGGACUGAGACACGGCCCAGACUCCUACGGGAGGCAGCAGUGGGGAAUUUUGGACAAUUGGCGCAAGCCUGAUCCAGCCAUGCCGCGUGAGUGAAGAAGGCCUUCGGGUUGUAAAGCUCUUUCGGCCGGGAAGAAAUCGUGUUCUCUAACAUAGGACAUGGAUGACGGUACCGGACUAAGAAGCACCGGCUAACUACGUGCCAGCAGCCGCGGUAAUACGUAGGGUGCGAGCGUUAAUCGGAAUUACUGGGCGUAAAGCGUGCGCAGGCGGUUUGCUAAGACAGGUGUGAAAUCCCCGGGGCUUAACCUGGGAACUGCGCUUGUGACUGGCAGGCUAGAGUACGGCAGAGGGG